UUUUUAUUCCCUCCGUCCGAAAAUACUUGUCAUCAAAAUGGAUAAAAGGGGAUGUAUCCAUCCCCUUUUAUCCAUUUUGAUGACAAGUAUUUUCGGACGAAGGGUUGCGUC
rfam:Triticum aestivum genome assembly, contig: Triticum_aestivum_CS42_TGACv1_scaffold_644249_T_3DS-0.097485_4AL-0.076057